CAGGGACUUCUGACGCUCCCAGCCCUUUAGCCUGGCAAACCUGAAGUACAAGAAAAGGACUUUUUCCUACAUUUUAGCACAAGCUGGGAGCUGCGAGCAACAAAAUCCCUUGGUCAUGAGAUGAGCUUCACUUCACUCCUGUUUUUCCCAGCCACCACAGUUAAAUCAGGUGUGAGCUGCUUGGGCCAUCCCUAAGAAACCAAAGUGAAGGGGUGGACAUAUGGAUGCUUUGGAUACUGUCUAAUACAGCAUCAAGAUAGAGCUGAAGCUUACACCCAGCCCUGGUUAACUAACUUUAUGGUUCUCAUGACAUGAAUCAAAAAAUAGCUUUAAGAUAGCUGCAUGGAUACUCCUCUUACUAAUUGUUUUCUAUGAUGUUGUUGAUAUUUGUGGAAGCUGCCAACAAUGGAAAAGUGGAUCUGGUCACUUGGGAAGGCGCAACACUGCAUAAUUGUUCCUCCUAUAGCUGCUGGGGUUGCUGCUCCAGGAUGCAGUUUCAAAGCUGGUGUUGGAUAAGUGGUCCUGCAGGGAGGUGCUGGGUUUGCUCAGGCAGGUC